UACGUAGGGUGCAAGCGUUGUCCGGAAUUAUUGGGCGUAAAGAGCUCGUAGGCGGUUCGUCGCGUCGGCUGUGAAAACCCGGAGCUCAACUCCGGGCCUGCAGUCGAUACGGGCGGACUUGAGUGUUGCAGGGGAGACUGGAAUUUCUGGUGUAGCGGUGAAAUGCGCAGAUAUCAGGAGGAACACCGGUGGCGAAGGCGGGUCUCUGGGCAACUACUGACGCUGAGGAGCGAAAGCGUGGGGAGCGAACAGG
rnacentral:rRNA from 1 species